UGGUCUACAUAGCAUUGAAACUUGCG
rnacentral:piRNA from 1 species